GGAGAGGUGCCUGAGUGGUUGAAAGGGGCACCCUGCUAAGGUGUUAGGUCAGCAAUGGUCUCGGGAGUUCGAAUCUCCCCCUCUCCG
rfam:Parcubacteria bacterium GW2011_GWE2_38_18 TS81_C0002, whole genome shotgun sequence.